AUCGAAUAUCAGUAGGUUGGCCCAGUACCGGUUAACCAAAUUGAAAACGACAAGAGAAAGAGAAGAAAGGAAGAAAACGAUCGACGGGGAAAAGUCGCGGGCGACACUCAAGGAAACGACCUCGUUAUUUCUAGAAUACGGUGAAUUGGACAAACCAUGGCGCGAAUAAAUGUCUGUGAAUUGGCUCUUGUUCUAGUCUCUUGCCUUUUUAUAAAAGUUCUAAUAGUAGAAGGAUCCAAACGCAUUAAAGAAAUUUUAACAUAGGAAACUCGUUGAAAUAUAUAUGCCAAUGUACUAAUAUGAAACACGUCACAUCACAUAAUAGGAUUAUUCCCAAAUCGACACAUGUGAAACAGAAGAUUGAGACAAUAUCAUAUCACAUCGACACGUGUGAAACAAAAGACUUGAGCAAUGUCUAACAACAAGAAUCUUCAAAGCUAUUAAACACAAGUUUCUAUAUGUAUGUAUAUGAUAUACUGACAAGUAUAUUGAAUAUGAGACAAUAUAUGAUAUAAGAAAGAAUUUCUAUUCCCUCGAUUCGACAACCCUAACGCGCAUUACGUUGAGUCGCGUGGUAGCAAAAAUAAAAAAAUUAAAGAUUUUCCCGGAUCGUCGGUGAAAAGGUUCCAACGUUUUCGAGUAGGUUAGUAUUGCAGCAGAAUGCAUGCACAAGUUCUGAAAAUAGCCGGACGAUACGACCAUUGCUACGCAGCCGAUGGAAACGCGUGUUUAUCCUCUUCGCCAUAACCGACGUGCCGAAUGAAGUCGUCAAUGGUGUUUCCUGAGAAAACAACGCGCGUGCAACGAACUGUUGAACCAAGACUGUGUUUUAUUAUCGAGGCCAAUUAAUAGAGUUCGAUGGCAUUUCUACAGCAUCGUGACGUAUCAUUCCAUUCGUUUCAACUCAAUAAUUAAUAAAU
rnacentral:misc_RNA from 1 species